rnacentral:rRNA from 1 species
GGUGUAGGCGGCUUGUUAAGUCGGAUGUGAAAUCUCCCGGCUAAACUGGGAGGGGUCAUUCGAUACUGGCAGGCUGGAGUGCAGCAGAGGAAAGCGGAAUUCCCGGUGUAGUGGUGAAAUGCGUAGAUAUCGGGAGGAGCACUAGUGGCGAAGGCGGCUUUCUGGGCUGUUACUGACGCUGAGGUCCGAAGGCGUGGGGAGCAAACAGGAUCAGAUACCCUGGUAGUCCACGCAGUAAACUAUGGACACUAGGUAUGGGGAGUAUCGACCCUCUCCGUGCCGAAGCUAACGCUUUAAGUGUCCCGCCUGGGGAGUACGGUCGCAAGACUAAA